rnacentral:tRNA from 1 species
AAGGUUAUAGCUUAAUCGGUAAAGCCAACUGCUCAUGACAGUUAAGAUGAGUGUUCGAGUCAUUCUGGCCUUA